rnacentral:misc_RNA from 1 species
CAAUAUUAUGCGACUGUGGAAGUGAGAAAGUUAAAACCCUAAUUAGCGCUCCGUCGGGGUGAGGAAGAAAGGCAAAUCAAAGGAGUGAGAAAUCGGGAAGAUGAAUUCGGUGGGUGGCGGAAACAUUGGCAUGAUAAAGAAUUCAGUGGUGAGGUAUUUCUCUCGGAAACGCUCAGUGAAUGUCAGGAAGAUAAAUCCUAAGGUUCCGUUCCCUGAAGCUGCUUCAAUUUCUCACUCUCUUUACAAUAUCAUCAAGCAGCAUGGACCUCUCAACGUUUCCAGCACUUGGAAUUACGCCAAGGAGUCUAC